GGUGCACUUGCAUGUAGAUAAUAUAUUGGAAUGCAGAAAAUAUUAUGUUAUACUUUAAUCUGAAAACAAAAAUUUCCCUGAAACAAUUAACAUACAUUAGGCCAUAAUUCAUGAACAUAGUUUUGACUGUCAGAUGUAUAAAACAGCAUAGUGAGUUGCAAUCAUGGCCAAAGACAUAUUAGGUUAAUUAUUUUACAUAAUUAUUUUUCGUCAUUUGCCAUGCAUGUAAUCUGUGAAGGAUUCAGGAUUAUCCGGCAUGGAAAUAACGUUUUAAACGUGCUAUAUAAAACGGUAUUCAAUAUUCACACUACAUGAUGGGCAUAGGGCCAUUCCAUUUAAUGUACACCCCCCCCCCCUAUGGACGAGGUCAAUAAAAUUUGAACCCUUAAGAAAAAAAGAUCAAAGUGCCGACACAAGCACCCCCCCCCCCUAGAAAUUAAGAGAUUUUUGAUUUACCCCUCAGAAAAAAACGCAAAGAUCAAAGGAUGCCGAUGCACACAACCCCUCAGAAAUGGCUUUUUCAAACCCCCUCAGAAAUUCUCGUCCAUAGGGGGGUGUAUAGAUUUAAAUCCAGCAAUUCAAAUCCAAAACUCAUGGGGUCAUGCAUGACAUGAUGACAUCUAUCUACAAUUUAUAUUUUCUUGAAAUGUUAGGUGAUUCAUUGUUAUUCACAAGUCAAUGUUCAACAACAUACGCUAGACGAUAAAGCUUCGAAUUACUUCUCUUUAAUUUCCAGUCCGGCUUUAUCCAGUCUUUGAAGUGACUUCACAAGCGCGUGUUGAAACAGGACAUCUGUACAAAAACCCAUGAUGUUUCGAAUCCACUUCGAGCACAUUUCGACUCGAU